rnacentral:rRNA from 1 species
UACGGAGGGUGCAAGCGUUAUCCGGAUUUACUGGGUUUAAAGGGUGUGUAGGCGGGUUAUUAAGUCAGUGGUGAAAUCCCGGAGCUCAACUCCGGAACUGCCUUUGAUACUAAUAGCCUUGAAUUAUGUUGAGGUUGGCGGAAUAUAACAUGUAGCGGUGAAAUGCAUAGAUAUGUUAUAGAACACCGAUUGCGAAGGCAGCUGACUAAACAUAUAUUGACGCUGAGGCACGAAAGCGUGGGGAUCAAACAGG